GGAGUUAGCCGGUGCUUCUUCUGUGAGUGAUGUCCUUCCUGCCGGCUAUUAACCCGCAGGCCUUCUUCCUCACUGAAAGUGCUUUACAACCCGAAGGCCUUCUUCACACACGCGGCAUGGCUGGAUCAGGGUUGCCCCCAUUGUCCAAUAUUCCCCACUGCUGCCUCCCGUAGGAGUCUGGGCCGUGUCUCAGUCCCAGUGUGGCUGAUCAUCCUCUCAGACCCAGCUACGGAUCGUCGCCUUGGUGAGCCGUUACCUCACCAACCAGCUAAUCCGACAUAGGCUCAUCCGAUAGCGCGAGGCCCGAAGGUCCCCCGCUUUCCCCCGUAGGGCGUAUGCGGUAUUACGCCUGGGUUUCCCCAGGUUAUCCCCCCGACUUACCCGGGGCCAGGAUUCCCUAUGCCAUUACUCACCCGUCCGCCGCUCGCCACCAGGGAGCAAGCUCCCCGUGCUGCCGCUCGACUUGCAUGUGUAGCUCGCCGCCACGCGUCAUCUGAGCGAGAUACAACUACUGA
rnacentral:rRNA from 1 species